rnacentral:rRNA from 1 species
CCACGCUGUAAACGAUGAGUGCUAGGUGUCGGGAGUCAAAUCUCGGUGCCGCAGCUAACGCAAUAAGCACUCCGCCUGGGGAGUACGUGCGCAAGCAUGAAACUCAAAGGAAUUGACGGGGACCCGCACAAGCAGCGGAGCAUGUGGUUUAAUUCGAAGCAACGCGAAAAACCUUACCAGGGCUUGACAUCUAGUGGACGAAUGUAGAGAUACAUUGUUGU